UUUUCCCUUAAACAGUUUCAUUUUUUCUUUUCAGUAUUUUCGCAUGCAUUUACAGUACUUAUUAUGAAUUGGUAAUGUUUCUUGUGGGUUUUGAAAUUCUUUAACUUUGGAUUUGAAGAAUACAAGAAGGAACAAAUUUAGGGUCAGGGCCAAAGAGGAAUAUUAGGCUAUUGAAAGCCAAUUACAUAAAGGAGUUUAAUUUUUUGGGUCGAGGUGAAGACCUUCUUGAUCUGAAGAAAUGUUUUAUUGAUCUUAAUAAUCUUCAAGCCAGAGAAGACUCUGUUAUUAGGCAAGCUGAGUUGGAGGCUUAAAGAUUUGGGAUUGAUGUUAUAGAUGAAACUCAGAGCAUUUUUUAUGCUCUGUUCAAAACGCUUCCAGUGCACUGGGACAAGACUACUAUAGUUGUGAUGAAUGAAGUGCGCUUUAGUAGCCCAAAUCUUCCCGAGCCCGUCGUUGGAGGAACUCCAGCUGCCAAUGAGCGAGUGCAGAAAGUGGCGAGACUGUCAACUGGGAUCCUUCUGAAUGUUGAACUCUGUUAAGUGAAAUGCAUAGUGUCAUCUCACCUCAUUACUAACUUUUUGAUCUUCUGUGUUUUUGCUAGCUUGAGUUUGAGAGAAAGAGAUUACAAACUCGCUAUGCUGGUCAAUGACUAUGUUGCUCUGUCAUGCAUUGAGGGUGAAUUGGUGCCGUCAUGUUCGGAUGACUAGGGGAAUGGCUCCUCAACUCUCUGAGCAUCAAGUUCUUUUUGGAUUGGUACCAAGUUUUGAUGGAGAAGUUUGCCUCAUGCAGUUGUAAGAUGUUAGAAGUUUAGGCAUUUAAGGAAUUUUGUUUUCAAUAAACCCUGAGAUUUGCUUUCUUUGUCACCACAUUACUUCCCAAUGCAUUCACUGCUGCAUGCUAUUAAUUUGAUAGAGGGCAUGGGUUAUAUGCAUCCAGACAGAAUUACACCAAGAUAAGCUCAUGCGCUGAUGCCUAUUAGAUUGUAAAAUGCAGUUUCUCAUUAUGUUCUGGGAUGAUCAAUGUAUAGCAGGAAAGCUAAACAAUAAACUUCCCAAUAGCUACCUUAGAGAAAGACAGAAAUAACAGUCUUUAGGUUGAAUAUGCUAUUAAUUUUUCACUUAUAGCACAUCAGAUCAGAGCUGGGUUGAUUGUUGAAGUCGAAAACUACUGUGCGUACACAUGUAUACGCAAAUGUAGUGAUAUGUCCUCAAUUUUGUGGUUAUAUUGACCACAUGGGCCUAUUUUGAAAGGUCUGGUUGGAAAGGGGGUCGUGGAAAGAGUUGGGUUUUAGGUUAGAGUAAUUUUUUCUCAAAUU